rnacentral:rRNA from 1 species
AUUGAACGCUGGCGGCAGGCUUAACACAUGCAAGUCGAGCGGGGAAGAGUAGCUUGCUACUUAACCUAGCGGCGGACGGGUGAGUAAUGCUUAGGAAUCUGCCUAUUAGUGGGGGACAACAUCUCGAAAGGGAUGCUAAUACCGCAUACGUCCUACGGGAGAAAGCAGGGGACCUUCGGGCCUUGCGCUAAUAGAUGAGCCUAAGUCGGAUUAGCUAGUUGGUGGGGUGAAGGCCUACCAAGGCGACGAUCUGUAGCGGGUCUGAGAGGAUGAUCCGCCACACUGGGACUGAGACACGGCCCAGACUCCUACGGGAGGCAGCAGUGGGGAAUAUUGGACAAUGGGGGGAACCCUGAUCCAGCCAUGCCGCGUGUGUGAAGAAGGCCUUUUGGUUGUAAAGCACUUUAAGCGAGGAGGAGGCUACCGAGAUUAAUACUCUUGGAUAGUGGACGUUACUCGCAGAAUAAGCACCGGCUAACUCUGUGCCAGCCGCCGCAGUAAUAC